rnacentral:lncRNA from 1 species
GCCAAUCAAGUCUAUCCUUGGACAACCAAAAACAUUUCUCCAACAUGUUGUCAUUCUUCGAUGUGUUAGUUCAUUUGGAUUUGCAGAUGAAGUACUUGAAAGGUCAGUUUUAAUUGUUUGUAUCAUUAUAUUAACUAAUGACUAUACACAAAUUAUAUGAAAACUUUUCUCCAAUGAUUCCCCUUUGGCACUGCCUCUAUGUUUUCUGAGUCAGUUUCCAGAAAUAAAGAAUAUGCUCAAAUUGUUGUGGAUAGCCAAAAAUAUUUCUGUCAUCAAAUUAGGUUUUUUUCAGGGAUUUUUUAGGGCUGCCUCAAAAACUCAAUCUUGAAUUGGGUUUUGAAACUCAACCUUCUCACCAAAAGUUUCAUUGCUUUUGUGACAUGUGGAAAUUAGUUUGUGAAAUUUAAUUUGGAAAACCUGACAAUUAAAAAAGUGUCCCUUAGUGCCCCUGCUAAACUUGGCUAAACUCAAUCCUCUCAUGUCUGUGGUCCCCCAACUUUUUCAAAACUGUUUCUCAUCAGUCGAAAGUGAAUAUUUUUAUCAUUUUUUAAAAUAUUUUUGUUGGGGCAUGUCGGAAUAUUUUACUCUGUCUACAACCAGACAAUUUUACUUAUCAAGGGGAGAGUGCUGCCCUCGAUGGAUUAAUCAGACAAUAUCUGCCAUUGCAUACUGUUGCUGGAUUAAUGUUCAUUGGCCAUUAGUUAGAACACAAAAAUAAAGUUGGGAGCAUUGGAGCAUAAUCAGUUAAUCUUACUCAUUUUAGAAAACAGACAUUGAACUAUGUGACAAAGAAACUACAGUAUAUAACAAUGUGUACAAGCCAAUCGAGUCUAUCCUUGGACCAAACCAAAUACAUUUCUCCAACAUGUUGUCAUUCUUCGAUGUGUUAGUUCAUUUGGAUUUGCAGAUGAAGCACUUGAAAGGUCAGUUUUAAUUACUUGUAUCAUAUUAACUAAUGACUAUUAUACACAAAUUACAUGAAAACUUUUCUCCAAUGAUUCCCCUUUGGCACUGCCUCCCUGCCUCUAUGUUUUCUGAGUCAGUUUCCAAAAAUAAAGAAAUAUGCUCAAAUUGUUGUGGAUAGCCAAAAAAAUUUCUUUCAUCAAAUUAGGUUUUUUUUCAGGGAUUUUUUAGGGCCGCCUCACCAGAGCCACUUUUCUCAUUUUUCAUAAAGCAGCAAAAAAUAGCAAAAAAGUAAGCCUAUAGCCUUAACUUUUCGUCCAUUUUCAGCCCCUUUUCUCAUUUUUCAUAAAGC